GACGAAGGAUACCUUCAGAAAAUUUGACAACUUUCAUCGGUUUUGAAGAGUUUCUUCCUAUUUCUGGAUUGAAGAUGGCAACGACAUGCAUGGCCGCGUAUAAUGGACGAGCUUUGGAUUCCUCCGCAUCUGAUCUGUACUACCCACCCAUUGCGAUUGAACUCCGUAUCAGUUCCUGACCAUGCCAUGACAUGGCCAUGUUCAUUCAAACAGCCCAACCCCCACUCUGAACCUUUCUAAAUAGUCCAUGGUGUGGAGUACAUGUA